UGAUCGGUAGCUCAGUUGGCAGAGCACGGGACUGUUAAUCCCGGGGUCGCAGGUUCGAGCCCUGCCCGAUCAG
rnacentral:tRNA from 1 species